rnacentral:rRNA from 1 species
UAUCUCUGUAGAGUCUGCAUAUCAAUAAGCGGAGGAAAAGAAACUAACUAGGAUUCCCUCAGUAACGGCGAGUGAAGCGGGAAGAGCUCAAAUUUGAAAUCUUCAAGGUUCUACCUUGACGAAUUGUAGUUUAAAGAAGUGUUUUCUGUUGGAGUUUUGGUAAAAGUUCUUUGGAAUAGGACAUCAUAGAGGGUGAGAAUCCCGUAUUUGACCAUUAUUUCCAGCUUUGUGAUACACUUUUAAAGAGUCGGAUUGUUUGGGAAUGCAGUCCAAAAUGGGUGGUAAAUUUCAUCUAAAGCUAAAUACUGGCGAGAGACCGAUAGCGAACAAGUACCGUGAGGGAAAGAUGAAAAGAACUUUGAAAAGAGAGUUAAACAGUACGUGAAAUUGUCAAAAGGGAAGCGUUUGACACCAGUGUUGUUUUCUCGAAAAUCAAUUAAAAAAGGCAGGAUUUUGUGUUGUAUUGACUUUAUCAGCCUUCUGCACUCUUUUCUUGUCUUUUUUAAUGCACUUUUCGUUUAACAAGUCAACAUCAAUUUCUUUUGUUGUAAAAGGGUCAUUGGAAGGUGGCUUUCCUUUUCGGAGAAAGUGUUUAUAGCCUUUGGCCUCUGCAAUCGGAGAGAUUGAGGUCUGCAGCGUAGAUCCUUCGGGGUUAGAUACAUUUGUGCUAAGUUAUAGCCUUUCAUAGACAACUUGUUGACUAUGAUCAGUCAUGUAGCUUACUCGCUUAUGCUAUUUUACCUACGCUUAGGAUGUUGACGAUCAGCUGAGCGCG